ACAAGUGUCUGCGGCUAUCCGGAUAUCCCCGAAGAGCAGAGACGCAAGCGGCGAUCCGGCGGCGAGAGACUGAGGAUGCAUCCCACAUGGCGGAUGGCUUCCCGCAUCCGCUUCGUUCCCCCUCCGUUAGCGCUGGCAGAGGAGGUGGCGAGCGUGUGGCAGCUGGACCGCUGCAGUAGGGCCUGAACUGUCCUGCCGUGGCUGAGCAUCGGCAGGCGGUGGCAACAGCGGUGGGGGCGGGGGAACUGGCCCUUGAGGCCGGGCGGGAGCUGCUGCCUUCCGCUACCCCCGCUGCGACCCCCAACGCUGCCAGCUGGCUGAGAGGAGGCAAGCGACUCUGACGGCCAGGUCUUCUACAUAGACUACAACACCCGCCAGACGUAGUGGAUCGACGCCGAGAACCGUAGUUCAGCUGCUCUGGAAGAGAUACCUAUUUUUGUGGAAUUGUAAUUUUGCUGAAACAGCAUUUCCAGUGAUUAUCUGGAUAUCUUGUUCUGUCGGGAACAAUUUCGCUGCACUCUGGGAAUUGGAAGUUCUGAUAAUGGUGAAGUGGA
rnacentral:lncRNA from 9 species